rnacentral:misc_RNA from 1 species
GCGUGUGAGUGGUGAUUGGAUGGAAUGGGAUUGCAUGCUCCUUGCUUGUGCAUCGAAUUGUAGUCCCUUCGUCCACGUCAAACUUAUCCCCAAGCAUGUUAUAUGUCUUGUGGGUGUGUUCGAUAUCCUGUAUUGCUUACCAGAUCUACGGUAUUCGGUGUUUUUGAUGCCUACAUUCGCCCGAUGCUUGUUUAUGGUGUUGGGUGGACAAUAGGUUGGCCCCAUGCUCCUAGCAUGCCUUGCAACAUUGUUUGGUUGCCAAGGUGYAUGGGGUCAUGCCCGUUCUUUCGGAUGCUGACCGUUACGUGUGUUGACGAGGGGUCUUGGCCCAUACUCGUCUGCUUUACGCACUUGUCCCUUAACACGAACGACCGCCUCACCUGUUUUGGCUCAAGGGGCUACAGCUCUUUGAGGCUCCAUGCAGGUGUUGGCGUCGUGAAGGAAUGCUUAUUAUUAAUAAUAAUA